UACGGAGGGUGCAAGCGUUGUCCGGAUUUAUUGGGUUUAAAGGGUGCGUAGGCGGCUCAUUAAGUCCGGGGUGAAAGCCCGUUGCUCAACAACGGAACUGCCCUGGAAACUGGUGAGCUUGAGUACAGACGAGGGUGGCGGAAUGGAUGCUGUAGCGGUGAAAUGCAUAGAUAGCAUCCAGAACCCCGAUUGCGAAGGCAGCGUGCCUAGAC
rnacentral:rRNA from 1 species